UGCUUUCAAAAGUUUCCUUUGGAGAAAUAGCUGUUUUGUAAGACCAACACAUUCUGUCAGGCACAUCUAUUGACCACAAAGUUGAGUUGCUCCUCUCUCCCCAAUCUAUUCCGCUCUGAUUGAAGGACCGCGCGAAGGAGGCAGGAGCGUCCACUGUUACACUCAGCAUCAAGCUGACAGCAACAACUCAUGGAGGGAUCGAUGGAGGAUUACCAGGCUCAUGGAGCUGCAUAGAGAAGAGAGCUCAGACUGGGCCUGAUGCUCUCAUUAAACCUUGUCCUGAUCUCUGCCUCAGUCCUGCCUCAUCCCUCAACCUCAACCCUGCCUCACACUCAAUCUCAACCCUCCCUCAGACUCAACCCUGCCUCAGCCUCAGUCCUGCCUCAGCCUCAGCCCUGCCUCAGCCUCAGCCCUGCCUCAACCUUAGCCUUGAUCCUGCCUCUAUCCUCUGCUCAGUCCCAUGCCAGCUUCUCGGCCGGGGGAAAGAGGGGUGAAAGAAGCAGAGCGAGAAAAAAUUAGAAAGUGAAGGAGAGCUACAGUAGAGACAGAAAGGUGAGAGGGAGAUAGAGAGAGAAAGGCAAACAAGUGUGGAAACUUUUACCUCCCCCUCAGGACCUGGCCUCUGCAGGACUCUUAUAAAUGGGCAUUGUUUCCCAGUAAAGCAUACUGCAACUGUUUACAGUUCCACAUAAAGGAUGGCUUUAUUCCUGCCAGGGGAAACGCUGCGACAAGAUCAUUUGAAUAGCUAUAGGGUCUCACUGCAAAGCCAUAAACAUUUACUAGGGGGUUGACACAGGGAAUGGAGAAUGAGGCAUGUGACCUCUGUGUGAUGCCUCCCGACUCCAGAUAAUGACAGGAACCCCAAAGCAGAUUACAGCUAACUCAGAGAAACCCAGAGAUGGAGAGAAAGAGAGGAAAGAUGCGGAAAGAGAGAGGUGGGAGAGAUGGACAAGGAUGGGGAAGGGGCAAAAAGGAAAGAAGGAAGAUAAUGAGAUGGACAUGAUGAAGAGCACCACAGAGGAGACGUAAGCGUAAAGAGGAAGGGGGAGAGAACAGCGAGAGAGUGCAGAGAUCCAGCUCUUUGAUGUCCCCUUUGAGCUGUUCCACAAUGAAAUGGCUGUGUCUUAUUUUUAUGUUUUAUCACAAGAGCCGUGUGCUGAAGCGGGCCCACUAGACCAGGCAGACAGGAAGGCCAUUAGACAGCGAUAUGAGCUGGACAGGGUAGCUAGCUAGGAGA